rnacentral:rRNA from 1 species
CCUACGGGUGGCAGCAGUGAGGAAUAUUGGUCAAUGGACGCAAGUCUGAACCAGCCAUGCCGCGUGCAGGAAGACGGCUCUAUGAGUUGUAAACUGCUUUUGUACGAGGGUAAACGCAGAUACGCGUAUCUCUCUGCAAGUAUCGUACGAAUAAGGAUCGGCUAACUCCGUGCCAGCAGCCGCGGUAAUACGGAGGAUUCAAGCGUUAUCCGGAUUUAUUGGGUUUAAAGGGUGCGUAGGCGGUCGGAUAAGUUAGAGGUGAAAUCCCGAGGCUCAACUUCGGAAUUGCCUCUGAUACUGUUAGGCUAGAGAGCAGUUGCGGUAGGCGGAAUGUAUGGUGUAGCGGUGAAAUGCUUAGAGAUCAUACAGAACACCGAUUGCGAAGGCAGCUUACCAAGCUACGUCUGACGUUGAGGCACGAAAGCGUGGGGAGCAAACAGGAUUAGAUACCCCAGUAGUC